rnacentral:lncRNA from 1 species
CGCACAUGCUCUGCAGGGGUAGUUCCUCUCAUCCUCUCACCAAGAAAACUCAGCACCAGAAAGAGAAGAGGUUUGUGGAAAAGACAACAAGUUUACUCUGGGAUGUGUUAAUGCAAUGGGCUGCAUGUGUUCACCCCUCCCCAAAUCCAUGUGUUGAAAUCCGAAUCCCCAACAUGAUGGUGAGGAGGUGGAGGCUCUGGGAAGUGAUUAGGUCAUGAUGGUGAGGAGGUGGAGGAUCUGGAAGUGAUCAGGUCCUGAUGGUGAGGAGGUGGAGGAUCUGGAAGUGAUUAGGUGGUGAUGGUGAGGAGGUGGAGGAUCUGGAAGUGAUUAGGUCGUGAUGGUGAGGAGGUGGAGGAUCUGGGAAGUGAUUAGGUCGUGAUGGUGAGGAGGUGGAGGAUCUGGAAGUGAUUAGGUCGUGAUGGCGAGGAGGUGGAGGAUCUGGGAAGUGAUUAGGUCGUGAUGGUGAGGAGGUGGAGGAUCUGGGAAGUGAUUAGGUCGUGAUGGUGAGGAGGUGGAGGCUCUGGGAAGUGAUUAGGUAGUGAUGGUGAGGAGAUGGAGGAUCUGGAAGUGAUUAGCUCAUGAUGGUGAGGAAGUAGAGGAUCUGGAAGUGAUUAGGUCGUGAUGGUGAGGAGGUGGAGGAUCUGGAAGUGAUUAGGUCGUGAUGGUGAGGAGGUGGAGGCUCUGGGAAGUGAUUAGGUCGUGACGGUGAGGAGGUGGAGGAUCUGGAAGUGAUUAGGUCGUGAUGGUGAGGAGGUGGAGGCUCUGGGAAGUGAUUAGGUCGUGAUGGUGAGGAGGUGGAGGAUCUGGAAGUGAUUAGGUGGUGAUGGUGAGGAGGUGGAGGAUCUGGAAGUGAUUAGGUCGUGAUGGUGAGGAGGUUGAGGAUCUGGAAGUGAUUAGGUCGUGAUGGUGAGGAGGUGGAGGAUCUGGAAGUGAUUAGGUCGUGAUGGUGAGGAGGUGGAGGAUCUGGAAGUGAUUAGGUCGUGAUGGUGAGGAGGUGGAGGAUCUGGAAGUGAUUAGGUCGUGAUGGUGAGGAGGUGGAGGAUCUGGAAGUGAUUAUGUCGUGAUGGUGAGGAGGUGGAGGAUCUGGAAGUGAUUAUGUCGUGAUGGUGACGAGGUGGAGGAUCUGGAAGUGAUUAGGUCGUGAUGGUCAGGAGGUGGAGGCUCUGGACGUGAUUAGGUCGUGAUGGUGAGGAGGUGGAGGAUCUGGAAGUGAUUAGGUCGUGAUGGUGAGGAGGUGGAGGAUCUGGAAUUGAUUAGGUCGUUUUGGUGACAAGGUGGAGGAUCUGGAAGUGAUUAGGUCGUGAUGGUGAGGAGGUGGAGGAUCUGGAAGUGAUUAGGUCGUGACGGUGAGGAGGUGGAGGAUCUGGAAGUGAUUAGGUCGUCAGGGUGCAGCCCUCCUGAAUGGGAUUAGUGCCCUUAAACCAGAGGCCCCAGAGGCAUCCCUGGCUCCUUCCACUAUGAACCAGAAAGUGGGACCUCACCA